rnacentral:rRNA from 1 species
UACGUAGGUGGCAAGCGUUGUCCGGAUUUAUUGGGCGUAAAGCGCGCGCAGGCGGUUCUUUAAGUCUGAUGUGAAAUCUUGCGGCUUAACCGCAAGCGGUCAUUGGAAACUGGGGAACUUGAGUACAGAAGAGGAAAGUGGAAUUCCACGUGUAGCGGUGAAAUGCGUAGAGAUGUGGAGGAACACCAGUGGCGAAGGCGACUUUCAGGUCUGUAACUGACGCUGAGGCGCGAAAGCGUGGGGAGCAAACAGG